AAUUUUUCGCAAUGGGCGCAAGCCUGACGGAGCAAGACCGCGUGGGGGAGGAAGGUCUGUGGAUUGUAAACCCCUUUUGACUGGGAAGAACACAAUGACGGUACCAGUCGAAUCAGCCUCGGCUAACUCCGUGCCAGCAGCCGCGGUAAUACGGAGGAGGCAAGCGUUAUCCGGAUUUAUUGGGCGUAAAGCGUCCGCAGGUGGUUAUUCAAGUCUGCUGUCAAAGCGCGAAGCUUAACUCCGUAUAGGCAGUGGAAACUGACUAACUUGAGUGUGAUAGGGGCAGAGGGAAUUCCCAGUGUAGCGGUGAAAUGCGUAGAGAUUGGAAGAACACAGG
rnacentral:rRNA from 1 species